rnacentral:piRNA from 1 species
UGUCAUGAUAAUUAGGCCAGGUAAAGUCAC